GACAGAGGGUGCAAACGUUGUUCGGAAUUACUGGGCGUAAAGCGUGUGUAGGCGGUUUGCUAAGUCGGGUGUGAAAGCCCCGGGCUCAACCCGGGAAGUGCACUCGAAACUGGCAGGCUAGAGUACUGGAGAGGUUGGUGGAAUUCUCGGUGUAGCGGUGAAAUGCGCAGAUAUCAGGAGGAACACCAAUGGCGAAGGCAGCACUCUGGGACGUGACUGACGCUGAGACGCGAAAGCGUGGGGAGCAAACAGG
rnacentral:rRNA from 1 species